GUUCAACGUUUUCUUAAGUUCCUUGAGCUUUGUAAAUGAUGAGUCGACAUUUGUCUUGAUUUAUAGGGUCUGUUUUUUGUAAAAGUUAUCUAUAAAAAAAAUGUCCUUUUUGGGGAAGAAGCAGAUCGGUUAAGCGCGUAAAUUACGUAAGAUUGAUCAAUAGAUGGCAGGGGUGUCGCCAACUGUCGGGUUCUCUUCUGCUCGUUAUAAGGAUUUCUUCGAAUUGGAGGAUUGUUUAAAGGAAAUGGGGAAUUAUGCUGAAAAAUAUAUAAGAAAUCCGGACACAACUCCGGAUUCUAAAGUCGCUCCCCAAUUCGACUCAAAUAUAGGUUUCCCGAAAGGCAGAAAGACUAGAGUUAUGAUCGCCACAGAGGAAGAAAUGGAGGCUGCUCGUAUUCCUAAAAAUUCACGCGAUUAUUGUGCCCACAAAUAUUUAGAACUGGAAACAUGUAGAGUAAAAGUUGCUCCAUUUUUUCACAAGUGUCACCACGAGAGACACUCAUUGGAAGAGUGUGAAUUUGAUGACUAUGUUUUAAGAAUGAAGGAGUACGAACGCGAACGCAGGCUUCUGAAAAGGCAGAAGAGGAAGUUGCAACAGCAGCAGGCACAAGCUGCAGCGGCUUGAUCAGUCUUUAUAGAUAGCAUAUAAGUCAUCCUUUGUCGUUUGGUUCUUAGAAAACGGUAUACAAAAUUGCGUGGUGGGAAGAAAGAGUUUGUCUAAUUUUUCUUCAAUGGAGCGAAGAGAAACAAAUCGAGCUAAUCGAUUACAGGGCUAAAUAUCAACAGCCGAACAUUAUCC